rnacentral:rRNA from 1 species
UACAGAGGUCUCAAGCGUUGUUCGGAUUUAUUGGGCGUAAAGGGCGCGUAGGCGGCGUGGUAAGUCGGGUGUGAAAUCUCAGGGCUCAACCCUGAAACUGCACUUGAUACUGCUCUGCUUGAGGACUGGAGAGGAGACUGGAAUUCACGGUGUAGCAGUGAAAUGCGUAGAUAUCGUGAGGAAGACCAGUGGCGAAGGCGGGUCUCUGGACAGUUCCUGACGCUGAGGCGCGAAGGCCAGGGGAGCAAACGGG